UGGGAAAUAGUUCAACAGGAAGAAUAAAAACAAAAGAUGUGGGUUCGAAUCCCGCUUUCCCGA
rfam:Roseburia intestinalis XB6B4 draft genome.